rnacentral:sRNA from 1 species
GGCAAUUGUUGUUCAACCUGUGGUUAAAAGUAUGACAGUUAACUUAAAAUUAUUAAGUUGACUUAAAAAUAUUGUUGACUUAAAAUUAUUUCGUAUUCAAACAGGAAUGACUGUGAUAAAUAUGUUUUUCGUAUGCAAAAAUAUCAUAAAAGUAAUGGUGGUAUUGUCUGGGGCAACAUCAAGAAAAAAUUAGUUGAAACUGAUUUCUCAACUCCAACACCAAGAAGGAAAACCCCAUUUAACACAGGUAAUACACUUACAGCUUU